UUUUUUCAAAGUGUCACCUGGCUUAAAAUGAAACACUAAUUCAAUAAUGAGUAUUGAUUGGAUGUCAAAUGAAAUAACUCCCAGAGAGAGAUCUCCUGCACAGAGGGCUGUGUCGUGCUAAACUGGACAGUGGCAUCAAACCUCUACAGUUUGGUUAUAUAGCACCUUUUCUUGUUCCCUGGCAAUUGUCUGUGCUACAGUUGAUACAUGAAUCCUGUCCAGAAUCCUUGACUGUUAUUCUGUAGUCAUUGACACACCAGGUAACUAAAAAAUAUAGCUUGCAAAAAGGAUAAAAAAGGAUUAAAUUGAAUCCAAAUACAAACCACAAAAUAAAGACACCUUCCUGAGCAAUCUCACUGUUGGCAACGGUAAAGAUGUAGAUAUCACAAAUUAAUGUCCUGCAACCUAACUUCAUCUCCCUUGCCAAAAGGAAAAUUUUGAUAAAGAAAGGACAAAAGCUCCUGACAGCUAUCUGCCCUGGCAUUAACGGCCAGGCCGCAGUUUUCUCUUAUUAAAAAGAAACAAUUUCAGGAGAGACAUGAUGGCUGAACAGAGACACCAGCUGCCAGAUCAUCUCAGAAAGAGGGAAAACUUUUAGAAGAAAAAGAAAAAACCAAAUAAAGAAUCAUAGAUUGGGUGUAAUUCCAAGGGAAAUGUCCCAGAACCUACAAGAGAUUCCACAAGAAGAAACUGCAAAGCGGAACAAGAAGGAGCAAGAUUUGGGCAGAGGUCAACCCCAGAGAAGCUUGGAGUCCAGCGAAACGGGUAGACAGAACAGUUUUUUUUCUCCCUCCCUCACAUCUCUGGCAGUCAGAAGGCUCCCAAGCGCUAGACAGACUUUCUGCCCUUAUGAGCCCAAAAGCUGCUGCUGCCAAUAAACUGGGAACUUCUCAAGGACAAAGCACCAGCCCGCCAGCCCCUAUGGGAUGCCUCCUGUCACCACAGAGCAGAACACGAUGUUUGGAAACAUUGGAGAUAUCUGAAGAUUAACCACUAUGACUUCUUCAGUGAAGAGGUGGGUGAGAAUAACACUAGCCAGUGUGUUUGAAAAGAGGAGCAUGUCUUGACUGAAGAGCCAGCAGAAGAGCUAUGCAGUACAUAACAGAGGUUUGGGAAGGUGUGUGCAGCAAGAAUUAGACUAACUGAGCAAAUUCAGAGUUAGGUACAAUGUAUAGAGACACUCAGUGAACUGAAAAACUUCAUUCCUUGUAUAUGACAUCUUUGAAGCAAAAAAUACAAAAUUGCACACCAGGUGUAAUAAUGACAAAUGAAGCAGUCAGAGAAACUCACCAUGGCCCCUGACAAAAUGAAAAAGCACAGAAGGCAUUUUACAGAUGUUGAAAUUAUGAAGAAAUAAAGCAGGCACUUUUAUCCUACUCACUAAAAAUAGUGACAACAAGUAAAGUUUCCAAAGCAUCCUAUAUUUCUCCUUUGUGUCUCAAUGUGUUCAAUGACCAGAAAUACAGAAGACAGAACGAAUAUCUAGAGUUUAUAUCUCUCCAGAACAAGGAUUUAUUUUGAAUUUUUAAAAAAAUCAAUUCAAGUCAGACAUUUUUACAUUAUUUGCUAAAACCUUAGCCACAACCUCUGUUCUAUCUAGGAAAGAAUUCCUGAUGCCAUUGCCUGAUCUAAGACAUGGCAUUAAUACCCUUAGGCACAUCCUCUGAGUUUCAUGUUCAACUAUUAUGAUUUUUUUUUUCUUUCCAGACUGAUGGAGGAGAAAACUUUACAACUUUAUAAUUUCUCUCAACUCAAUCAGUCCAUAUAUUAAUAUAUGUUCUUAAUAACAUUAUUUUCCAAGUAAUGGUUUCUGUAUGGAAUAAUCUCCAUUUGAUUCCAUACAACAAACUGCCAUAACUCUGACUGCCAUAGGAUAGCAGCAGCGACAAUAAAACAAUAACAGAUAUGUUAGAGGCACACUUAGCAACUCACAGAAACUAAGGAUAGAAAUAAAUGCCAUAAUUGGACUCUAAAAGAGAUGGAGAACUACCAAAAACCUAGGAGCAGAUCUCUUGGUCUUCCCUUGUCUCUGGUUUACUCUUCCCUCUUAUACUGACCAUCUUUUUUCUGUUUCUCAGUUCAUGUGACUACACAAAGCCAUCAAUUGCAAUUGUAUAUAUGUUCAAUUCCAGCCACCAAGAGGGAAACUAGCAUCUGCUUCUCAUUAACAUUUCUUAACUUUCCAGAGAAGAUCACUAAUUUGCCCACUGCUAUGGUUGGGAUAUUUGAUCCCUUCAAACCUCAUGUUGAAAUUUGAUCCCAAUGUUGGAAGUGAGGCAGGUCUAAUGGGAGGUUUUUGGAUCAUGGGGGUAGAUCCCUCCUGAAUGGCUUUGUGCUAGCCUCAAGGUAAUUAUUUUCUGAGAGAGCUAGUUGUAAAAAGAGCCUAGCACCUUCCGGACCUCCAUCCUUGCCACGUGAUCUUUGUGCAUGCCGGCUCUGUCUCACCUUCUGCCGUGAGUGGAAACAGCCUGAAGCCCUCACCAGAAGCAGAUGCUCUUGCACAGCUGGCAGAAUUGUGGGCCAUAUAAAUCUUUUAUUUUUAUAAAUUACCCAGCCUCAGAUAUUUAUUGCUUUAUAGAACCACAAAUGGACUUAGACACCCACCUUGAGCCAGACUAUCCCACACUAACCACAUUUUGCUAAUGUUGGACUCCAUGAGAACUAUGUGAGCAGGGGGGUUGAAGUUUCUAGAACACUAGUGGUCCUGGAAGAGAAGAUAAUAAAUGCCUGGGACAAUUUAGAAUUCAACACCUGCAACAAUCUCAGAAUCUUAUUGUCCCCUCUAGCUUCUGAGAGGACCCUCUUUAUCCAUUAUAUUCUCUGGCUACAUCUGAGGAAAACAGAAGAGAAUGUGCUUUCAUUAAGGGCUGAGCAGCUCUCUAAUCAUCCUUCCUGCCUGUAAAAUGUUGGAAGGCCAAGGAUGCUAUGGGUCGAGUUGUGUCCCUUCAAAAAUUCAUAUGUUGAAGUCAUAAUUUACAGUACUUCCAUAUGUGGCUUUAUCUGGAAAGACAUUGUUGAGGAUGUAAUUAGGUAAGAUUUGGUCAUUCUGGAGUGGAAUGAGACCUUACUCCAAUGACUGGUGUCCAUAUAAAAGAGGGAAAUUUAGGCAGAGUCACACAUAGUAAGAAAAUGGUAUAAAGGCACAGAGGGAGAAGAUGGCCAUCUAUUAAGUCAAGGAGAGGGGCCUGGAGCAA